UACGUAGCAGCGAGCGUUGUUCGGAGUUACUGGGCGUAAAGAGUGCGUAGGCGGUUUUCUAAGUUUGGUGUGAAAUCUCCCGCUUAACUGGGAGGGUGCGCCGAAGACUGGAAGGCUUGAGUAUGGGAGAGGUAAGCGGAAUUCCUGGUGUAGCGGUGAAAUGCGUAGAUAUCGGAAGGAACACCAGUGGCGAAAGCGGCUUCCUGGUCCAGCACCGACGUCAGGCACGAAAGCGUGGGGGAGCAAACAGG
rnacentral:rRNA from 1 species